AACAAAAACCUUUCUGUUGUAAAUAAUAAGGUGGAGCCCACCUCCAAUUGGAAGAGGCUUUGCCUACAAAAGGGUUCACACCCUUCAUUUGUAAUGACAGAAAUGAACAGAGAGAAAACAUUCCCUUCUCUCCAUCUCAAUUCCCUCUCCAAUUCCUCUAGAUUUAUAACACGUUAUCAGCACGAUUUCUCUAUCUCCAAAUUCAGAGCCUCAACGCUCUCUCUCUCUUUCUCUGCCAAGCCUCAAACCUGCUUUGUUUUGUAGCAUGUAGAUCACAAUAAAACAAGCAAGCAACCACCCAUGGGUUUGUUUAUCAUAGAUCCUAAUUCCUCCUCCUCCUCCUCAUCUCCAUUGUCAACUAGUUCUUGCAUGGCAGUGAGCUUCUUGAGGUACGAGGUAUCUGACCUCUGUCUAGCCAAGCCGGCCCUGAGGUCCCUCUCUGCCUCCGCCACAGUUGCUGAUGCCUUAGAGGCCUUGAAGACAUGUGAGGAAAACUUCAUCAGUGUCUGGGACUACAACCACCCCAAAACUACCAGAUCUAUAGACCCUGGCCAGCUGUGCCGCUGUGUUGGCAAGGUCUGCAUGGUUGAUGUCAUCUGCUAUCACUGUAAAGAUGACAACUUGGUAUCUCCAUCUGCUGCUCUCAAGGCAUGUCUCUGCAAUUUUGUCUAAGAUUCCUGGCCAAGUGAUGCAUGUGGAACCCUCUUGCAGACCCAACAACCCAAAUCUUCCAAGGAACCAAGAAUCUAACAACCUAAAGCCACAGCCACAGACUUAUUCAUAAGCACUGCAAACACACAGAGGAGGAAAUACAGAGCACACCUCCAAAAUCCAUCAUACCAAAGCAGAAAGAAAAGUUCAAACCCACAAAACAUGAUAAAGAACACCACCCACCGAAAUGAUGAGCUUCCCACCAUCUUUUCAAUUAUUAUUAUCCUAUAUUAUUUAAUAUUAAUAUUAAUGGUAAUAUAAUAUAUUAUAUUUACUGUAUGGUGUAGGUUUAUUACCCAUACAACAGUAUUUAUUUAAAAGGGUGGUGCGGGUUUAUCGUCCACGCCUUUACUUUUAUUUAAAUGUAUGGAGCAGAAUUAGUGCCCAUACAAGCACCUUUACUUUAUUGCAAAUUUACUUUUACUUAAAGUAUGAUGUGGAAUUAACCCUCAUACUUUAUGAAUUUAAUUUACCGCACAUUUAAUUUUAUUUAAGGUAUGGAGCGGGAUUAACGUCCAUACAGCAAGCAA
rnacentral:lncRNA from 1 species